UCCAAUUGGCCCCAUUACACGAAAGGUCUCGCUUCCCCUUUUCGGCGGGCGUACAGAGGCCACGGAGAAGAGAAACAACGGCGAUGUGUUGCGGCGGAUCUUCACCGUCUCCGGCAACUGAAUUCUUUUUAGCACCUUUCACCGCCCCCCGUUAAUUGCAGCCUGUAAUUUUGGUCGCAUGUAUUGAAAAUCAUCUUUGCAGAUUCUACAGGAUGGAAUGCGAGGACCACAAAUUGAAAAAAAAGAUUUUUCAAAUCCUUUCAGAUUUUAUGACAAGGGUUGCAAAAUUUGAGGAGUUGGUUUCUUCAGGAAGUAAGUCACUUGCUGGGUUUCAGUAAGGACUAGAGUUUCUUGGCCUCCAAUUAACAAGACAUCAGAGUUGAUUGAGCGAAUCUUUACGGCUAAUGAAGCCAGGAGGGUUGCAGUAUAUGUUGAAGCUGGAUGUGUAAGUGUUCAUGACAGGAUACAAAAUAUAAGCAAGUGUAAGU